rnacentral:rRNA from 1 species
CGCUCCACUAGCGUAUCUUCCAGUUGUUGUGCUUACAAAGCUCGUAGUUGGAUCUCAACAGCCUUGAAGCGGUUAACUUUGUAGUUUUACUGCUUUGUAGGCUGUGCUUUUGCUGGAGGUUUAGGGGUGCUCUUGAUCGAGUGUCUCUGGAUGCCAGCAGGUUUACUUUGAAAAAAUUAGAGUGCUCAAAGCAGGCUAAAAUGCCUGAAUAUUCGUGCAUGGAAUAAUAGAAUAGGAUGUCGAUCCUAUUUUGUUGGUUUUCGGGACUCGACAUAAUGAUAAAUAGGGACAGUCGGGGGCAUUGGUAUUCAAACGACAGAGGUGAAAUUCUGGGACCGUUUGAAGAAAAACGAAGGAGAAAGCAGGGGAAAAGAAGGGUUGCA